UUUCAAUGGAAGGAAAGGAAGAAGAAUGUGGUUCAACACCAUGGUGGGGAUGCAUGGAAAGGAGCACAGCUCGGCCUUAAUGGCGGAUGGGACGGAGAUUCCAGAGAAUGUAGUGAAGAGAUGCCAAGAGAUAAUUGAAGAAGAAAGCAUCCAGUUCAAAUGGGAAAAGGGGGAUGUUCUGUUCUUGGAUAACUAUGCUUUGCUCCAUGGAAGAAGGCCUUCUCUUCCUCCCAGAAGAGUAUUGGUUGCAACCUGCAAGUAGUUUAUUGAAUUGCUGCCUGGAUACAUAUACAUAUACAUAAGAUAUAGAUAUGGUUCAAUG
rnacentral:misc_RNA from 1 species